AUACCUACGGGAGGCAGCAGUGAGGAAUAUUGGUCAAUGGGCGGAAGCCUGAACCAGCCAAGUCGCGUGAGGGAAGAAGGCCCUGCGGGUCGCAGACCUCUUUGGACGGGGAGCAAGGCCGCCGACGUGUCGGCGGAAGGAGAGUACCCGUAGAACAAGCAUCGGCUAACUAUGUGCCAGCAGCCGCGGUAAUACAUAGGGAGCGAGCGUUAUCCGGAUUUAUUGGGUGUAAAGGGUGCGUAGACGGGAAUACAAGUUGGUUGUGAAAGCCCUCGGCUUAACUGAGGAACUGCAACCAAAACUAU
rnacentral:rRNA from 1 species